GAACUUAAGCAUAUCAAUAAGCGGAGGAAAAGAAACCAACAGGGAUUGCCUCAGUAGCGGCGAGUGAAGCGGCAAAAGCUCAAAUUUGAAAUCUGGCGUCUUUGGCGUCCGAGUUGUAAUUUGAAGAAGGUAUCUUUGGGCCCGGCUCUUGUCUAUGUUCCUUGGAACAGGACGUCACAGAGGGUGAGAAUCCCGUGCGAUGAGAUGACCCGGGUCUGUGUAAAGUUCCUUCGACGAGUCGAGUUGUUUGGGAAUGCAGCUCUAAGUGGGUGGUAAAUUCCAUCUAAAGCUAAAUAUUGGCGAGAGACCGAUAGCGAACAAGUACAGUGAUGGAAAGAUGAAAAGAACUUUGAAAAGAGAGUGAAAAAGUACGUGAAAUUGUUGAAAGGGAAGGGCUUGAGAUCAGACUUGGUAUUUUGCAUGUUGCUCUCUCGGGGGCGGCCGCUGCGGUUUACCGGGCCAGCAUCGGUUUGGAGCGGCAGGAUAAUGGCGGAGGAAUGUGGCACGGCUUCUGCUGUGUGUUAUAGCCUCUGACGAUGCUGCCAGCCUAGACCGAGGACUGCGGUUUUUACCUAGGAUGUUGGCAUAAUGAUCUUAAGUCGCCCGUCUUG
rnacentral:rRNA from 1 species